CUCCAUAUUAAAUGUGAACACCUCCAUGUGAAACCGAAAUAUGAGAAUCGCUCAUGCUGUUAGAAUGAAGCAGCGCAUUUUUCGAUUUCAAUCCUCGUAAAUGAUAUGUUGAUAAACAAAUGACGCCAUAUUGAUUUUGAUUUUGGGUAGCCUAUAUUCAAUUGAUGUCUAACCCCUGCAAUAAUGCAACAAUAGUGUUCUUACCGAACACAGGUUUAUCCUACACAUCCGCCAUUCCAUUAUUGGCUGUGAAGUAGGAAUGAGUUACUCACGAGAAAGAAAAAUAAUUCAGACCUAAAUGGUUAAAAAACGGUGGGUGAUGUCAAGCCUCAACAUAUGGAGCAUGCUUAUGUUAGAUCGCGCACCGCUAGUGUUUGCGGUAUUUGCGUUGAAUUAAAAAUGAAUCAACGGUAAACUGAACCGGGCCAGAUGAGCAUACGGAGUUCUAAGUGCUACUGACGAAGACCGACCAUGAGCUUCUGGAUCCUUGAUAUUCACGGUUCCCUCGGACAGAAUUGGAAACGUUUACAGUUCCACGAGUACAAUAUAUCUUGAUGCAAUUGAUCCGAAUUUAUAUGACAUAACAUAUGAUUACUCGACAACCGAGUUUGCUCGGGUCCAGUUCUAAAUAUUACGAAGAUCAAAACUAUAAUUAUCAAAACCCAUUCAUUUUUCCCAUUUCGGUUCACCACUCUCAGAUGAAACUAAAUAUGAAUUAAUUUUGAGCUAUAUCCAUCUGACCUGCGCUUGCAAAAUUUUCUAUGUUUUGAAGGUUAUGUAAUAUAAUUUUUUUCCUAUUUGUUUCCCUAGUUAAAAAAUAAAUAACACAAAAAUUAAAAUUUUUUUAUGACCGGAACAGAACAACAUGCAAUUAGUAUACCUAGAACGAAAACAAAACAAUUUAUCUGUGAGGUAACCUACAAUUAUCGUUCAGAAUUCUACUCGUGAACAGGGCCCCACGUUGGGCGCCAAAUGUAACGAACGUUCCCAGACCGCAACAAGCCACUAACGCCGAGGAAGGCUGUUACCAACAGAGGUCCGGCUAGAGACCUGCAGGGCAGACUGUCCACGGGUCUCAAACACCCUCUUCUCUGCGCGUUUUUUUGUAUAGGGGCGAUCCUACCCACAAUAAGGGAACUCAAAGGGGGGAAGGACGACAUUUCGGGUUUAUAGACCUUUUUCUUUUUUUUUUUGGUAUCUAUCACUCACGGCACAAUGGUAGGAACUGCCAGUAACCGGAUGUUGCGGAUCCAACACGUUGUGGGGAAUUCGGGGGAACUUGCACUGCGUCCUGGAAUUCCGUCAGGAUUCAUCGAGCGGGAAACUCUUUCACCAUUCGCUCGGGUAACAUUUCCCACUACUCACACUCGCACGUCACACGGAAACGGAUUCUCGCUUUUUUUUCCACCACGUCGUUUUUUUUUCAAUUUUCCGCGCGCGUUUCGUAUUUUCACCACUCACGGAUCUCGCGGUCCCCACCAAAGUGCUCUCGUUUCCGAUCUUUCUUUUCCGAGCUCCUCUAUUUCUUUCCUCGAACCUUUUUCUCCCUUUCCCACUUCUUUGUCAACCUCUCUCUCUUUUUUUUGUUCAGUCGGAUACGUACUUCCGAUCCACUUAACAUCGCAGGGAAGAUUGAGUGGAGAUUGACUGAGGAAUGACUUGAAAACGGAGCAUUCUCCGUCGACGUUAAGAUGGCGCCAGUCGAUGUAAGUUCUUGGGAUUAACAGAACGUUACAAAUGCACACGAAGGCAAGAAAAUCCAGACCAUGCCAAACUCUGUAAAUUUAAGAAAUAAAAUAGACCAGUCUAGAUUCAA